rnacentral:rRNA from 1 species
AGUCGUACGCUGUGCUAUACCUCCACCGGAGCUUGCUCCACCGGAAAAAGAAGAGUGGCGAACGGGUGAGUAACACGUGGGUAACCUGCCCAUCAGAAGGGGAUAACACUUGGAAACAGGUGCUAAUACCGUAUAACAAUCGAAACCGCAUGGUUUUGAUUUGAAAGGCGCUUUCGGGUGUCGCUGAUGGAUGGACCCGCGGUGCAUUAGCUAGUUGGUGAGGUAACGGCUCACCAAGGCCACGAUGCAUAGCCGACCUGAGAGGGUGAUCGGCCACAUUGGGACUGAGACACGGCCCAAACUCCUACGGGAGGCAGCAGUAGGGAAUCUUCGGCAAUGGACGAAAGUCUGACCGAGCAACGCCGCGUGAGUGAAGAAGGUUUUCGGAUCGUAAAACUCUGUUGUUAGAGAAGAACAAGGAUGAGAGUAACUGUUCAUCCCUUGACGGUAUCUAACCAGAAAGCCACGGCUAACUACGUGCCAGCAGCCGCGGUAAUACGUAGGUGGCAAGCGUUGUCCGGAUUUAUUGGGCGUAAAGCGAGCGCAGGCGGUUUCUUAAGUCUGAUGUGAAAAGCCCCCGGCUCAACCGGGGGAGGGUCAUUGGAAACUGGGAGACUUUGAGUGCAGAAGAGGAGAGUGGAAUUCCAUGUGUAGCGGGUGAAAUG